AACGAACGCUGGCGGCAGGCCUAACACAUGCAAGUCGAGCGAGGACUUCGGUCCUAGCGGCGGACGGGUGAGUAACGCGUGGGAACGUGCCCUUUGCUUCGGAAUAGCCCUGGGAAACUGGGAGGAAUACCGGAUGAGCCCUUUGGGGGAAAGAUUUAUCGGCGAAGGAUCGGCCCGCGUUGGAGUAGGUAGUUGGUGGGGUAAUGGCCUACCAAGCCGACGAUCCAUAGCUGGUUUGAGAGGAUGAUCAGCCACACUGGGACUGAGACACGGCCCAGACUCCUACGGGAGGCAGCAGUGGGGAAUCUUAGACAAUGGGGGAAACCCUGAUCUAGCCAUGCCGCGUGAGCGAUGAAGGCCUUAGGGUUGUAAAGCUCUUUCAGCUGGGAAGAUAAUGACGGUACCAGCAGAAGAAGCCCCGGCUAACUCCGUG
rnacentral:rRNA from 1 species